rnacentral:lncRNA from 1 species
GCGACAUACGCCGUGCGCAUGAGCGCGCUGGCCGCACCCAGGAGGCCACGGUUGCCAAUCUUAGUGGCUAAGAAUAGAAAGAUAUUAUUAGAAUUAGAAAGAUAUUGUUAGUUGGCAAGUUUGUUGCAUGCCUAGAAUCAAGGAGCGAUCAGCUCCUGCUGUGUGCGGCCGUGAGGCCUUAAACCAUUGUAACCAGACCUGAGAGAAUUAAGCAAGAUCAUUAUCAUCCAAUCUCCCUCUCCUCUCAACUAAGCCUACGGCUGUGCGGCAUAACCACGCCGGAGAAGACGACGAACCAAGGCUACGAACUCCGUAGCCGAGGGCCUCCUACCCACAACUACCAGUCCCUUGACAACCUGGUAUCACGAGUCCGGCGAUCUUCGCCCAACUCUUCCCUGCCCACCGAAUCAACCACCACACCACCAUCUCCAGCCCCUUCCACCGCCAGUUCCUCAGCCUCCAUCAACAUGUCGACGGAGCCCUCCCUCGCCGACGUGGUCGAGAUGAUGAAGGCCAUGCAGGCCGACAUCACCAAGCUCAAGGAGAAGUCCGACUCGUCGUCCUCCAGCGCCAGCCAGCCCGAGCGUCCCCGUGACACCGAUCGGCCGCCCAAGUUCCAGAAGUGGGAUUUCCCUCGGUUCGAUGGCAAGACCGACCCACUUCUCUUCAUCAACAAAUGCGAGUCGUACUUUCGCCAGCAGCGCACGUUGGCGGAGGAGCAAGUGUGGAUGGCCUCGUACAAUCUCGAGGACAUCGCACAACAUUGGUACAUCCAGCUCCAGGAAGACGAAGGUACCCCGACGUGGCGGCGGUUCAAGGAGCUGUUCAACCUCCGCUUCGGCGCGACUCUCCGGUCUGCGCCGUUCUUCGAGCUCACCGAGUGCCGCCGCACCGGCACGGUCGAGGAGUAUUCCAAUCGGUUCCAAGAGCUCCUCGCCCACGCCGGCCGCGUCGAGGAGUGGCAGCGCGUCCAGCUGUACACCGGGGGGCUGCUGCCUCCGCUCAGCCACGCGGUGCAGAUCCUCAACCCCGGCACCCUCAACGCCGCCAUGAGCCUCGCGCGGCAGGUGGAGCAGAUGGAACUCGCCAAGACUCCGGCGCCGAUCAAGCCGGGAGCGCGCGGGCUGCUGCCGCCGCCACCACCACGCGCCGCAGCACCAGCGCUGCCAGCGCCACCAGCCCCGCUAGCCCUGCCAGCGCCACCGGUGGGGGGCCGUGGCGACGGUCACCGGCGCCUGUCCCAGGAGGAGAUGGCGGAGCGCCGCCGCCAGGGCCUCUGCUUUAACUGUAAUGAGAAAUAUUCGCGUGGCCACAACCGGUUUUGCAGGCGUAUCUUCUUCGUUGACGGCGUGGAGAUUGACGUCGGCGAGGACGCUGUCCAGGCAGCUGAUGCCCAGGCCGCUGAAGGGGACGCGCCCUUCUUCUCGCUGCAGGCCCUCGCGGGGGUGCCAGUGGCCGACACCAUGCAAGUCACCGUCGGCCUUGGGCCGGCCUCGCUGGUCGCCCUCCUCGACUCGGGGAGCACCCACAACUUCAUCUCCGAAGCGGCGGCGCUGCGCACCGGCCUGCCCCUCCAACAGGGCCCCCGCCUCACUGCGAUGGUGGCAAACGGCGAAAGGGUCACCUGUGUGGGGGUCAUUCGCGCCGCCCCCCUCACCAUUGAGGGCGUCGUGUACCCGGCUGACCUCUUCGUGAUGCCGCUGGCCGGCUACGACGUCGUCCUUGGCACCCGGUGGCUGGGCGAGUUGGGGACGAUCGCCUGGGACCUACGCGGCCGGCGCCUGUCCUUCCAGCGCCAAGGGCGCACGGUCUGCUGGUCCGCCGUGGCUGCCACCGGCCCGGCCGCCAUCAGCGCCACGGUGGCGCCCGAACCCCACCUCGACGCGCUUCUGGAGGCAUUCAGCGCCAUCUUCGCUGAGCCAACGGGCCUGCCACCGCCACGUGCUCAUGAUCACCGCAUCACCCUCAAGCCGGGCGCGCAGCCGGUGGCAGUCCGCCCAUACCGCUAUCCGGCGGCCCACAAGGACGAGCUUGAGCGCCAGUGCGCUGCCAUGCUCGAGCAGGGGAUCGUGCGCCGCAGCGACUCGCCAUUCUCGUCGCCGGUCCUCCUCGUCAAGAAGCCGGACGGCGCGUGGCGCUUUUGCGUGGACUACCGCGCCCUCAACGCGUUGACGGUGAAGGACGCGUUUCCCAUCCCCGUCGUGGACGAGUUAUUGGAUGAACUCCAUGGUGCGCGCUUCUUCACCAAGCUGGACCUUCGCUCCGGGUACCACCAAGUGCUCAUGCGCCCGGAGGACGUCCACAAGACGGCGUUCCGCACGCAUGACGGGCUCUAUGAGUUCCUGGUCAUGGCGUUCGGCCUUUGCAACGCACCUGCCACCUUCCAAGUGCUCAUGAACGACGUUCUUCGGCCCUUCCUCCGGCGGUUUGUCCUUGUCUUUUUUGAUGAUAUCCUAAUCUACAGCAAGACAUGGGCAGACCACCUGCGCCACAUCCGUGCCGUCCUCGACGUGCUCCGUCAGCACCGCCUCUUCGUCAAGCGCAGCAAGUGCACCUUCGCUGCCCCGUCCGUCGCCUACCUGGGCCACGUGAUCUCGGCAGCGGGGGUGGCCAUGGACCCGGCCAAGGUGCAGGCCAUCGUCGACUGGCCAGCCCCAAGGUCGGUCCGGGCGGUGCGGGGCUUCCUCGGCUUGGCGGGCUAUUACCUCAAAUUCGUCCACAACUACGGCACGGUGGCAGCCCCGCUCACGGCGCUUCUCAAGCGCGAUGGCUUCGUCUGGCACGACGAGGCGGCUGCGGCGUUCGCUGCCCUCAAAGCAGCGGUCACCUCGGCACCGGUUCUCGCCAUGCCGGACUUCGCCAAGGCCUUCAUCGUCGAGUGCGACGCAUCGUCGCAUGGGUUCGGCGCUGUCCUCGUCCAGGAGGGCCACCCGGUGGCGUUCUUCAGCCGCCCCAUUGCGCCGCGCCACCGCUCCCUCGCGGCCUACGAGCGCGAGCUGAUCGGCCUUGUCCAGGCCGUACGGCAUUGGCGGCCGUACCUAUGGGGCCGGCAGUUCGUCGUCAAAACAGACCACUUCAGCCUCAAAUAUUUGCUUGAUCAGCGCCUUGCAACGAUCCCACAACACCACUGGGUGGGCAAGCUCUUGGGCUUUGAUUUUUCUGUUGAGUACAGGUCGGGCGCAACGAAUGUCGUGGCGGAUGCUCUCUCUCGCCGUGACACAGAGGAGGGUGACCUCAUGGCCAUCUCAGCUCCCCGCUUCGAUUUCAUCAGCCGGCUGCGCCAGGCACAGGCGCUGGACCCUGCCUUGGCGGCCAUCGUCGAGGAGGUGCGCGCUGGCACGCGUGCUGCACCUUGGGCGGUGACGGAUGGCAUGGUCACCUUCGAUGGGCGGCUGUACAUUCCACCCGCCUCCCCGCUCCUGCCCGAGAUCAUGGCGGCUGUACACGCGGACGGCCACGAGGGGGUGCAUCGGACGCUCCAUCGGCUGCGGCGCGACUUCCACUUCCCCAACAUGCGGCGCCUGGUGCAGGACUUCGUACGGGCCUGCGCUACCUGCCAGCAGUACAAGUCGGAACACCUCCAUCCGGCGGGACUGCUGCAGCCGCUGCCGAUCCCCUCCGUCGUAUGGGCGGACAUCGGCCUCGACUUCGUGGAGGCGCUGCCCAGCGUUCAUGGCAAGACGGUGCUGCUCACGGUCGUCGAUCGCUUCAGCAAGUAUUGCCAUUUCAUUCCCCUGGCGCACCCGUACACCGCCGAAUCCGUGGCUCAAGCUUUCUUCACCGACAUCGUCCGGCUGCAUGGCGUGCCGCAGUCCAUCGUCUCCGAGCGCGACCCCGUCUUCACCUCUGCGUUCUGGAGCGAGUUGAUGCGGUUGAUGGGGACGCAGCUGCUCAUGUCCUCGGCGUUCCACCCCCAAACCGAUGGACAGACCGAGGCGGCCAACCGUGUCAUCGUCAUGUACUUACGCUGCUUCACGGGGGAUCGGCCGCGACAGUGGCUCCGCUGGCUGCCUUGGGCGGAGUACAUCUACAACACGGCGUACCAGACCUCCCUCCGCGACACGCCGUUCCGGAUCGUCUACGGCCGUGACCCCCCAUCCAUUCGUUCCUAUGAACCGGGGGAGACACGGGUCGCUGCAGUGGCUCAGGAGAUGGAGGAGCGUGAGGCUUUCCUCGCCGACGUCAGGUACCGGCUCGAGCAGGCCCAGGCGGUCCACAAGCUGCACUAUGACAAGCACCACCGGCUGGUAUCCUACCAAGUCGGCGAUUGGGCCUGGCUGCGCCUGCGCCAACGCACUGUUGCGUCCCUGCCGCGCACAACAGCAGGCAAGCUCAAGCCUCGUUACGUCGGUCCGUACCGCAUCGCGGAGCUGAUCAACGAGGUGGCGGUGCGUUUGGAGCUGCCGCCCGGCGCGCGCCUCCACGACGUGUUCCACAUUGGCGUCCUCAAGAAGUUCGUGGGCGCGCCUCCAACCUCGCCUCCGACGCUCCCUCCGAUCAUCGACGGCGCUGUUGCCUCAGCUCCAGCCAAGGUGCUGCGUGGCCGCCUCGCUCGGGGCGUUCGGCAGGUGCUUGUGCAGUGGCAAGGUGAGCUGCCUGAAUCUGCCACCUGGGAGGACCUCGACGACCUGCGAGCUCAGUAUCCAACCUUCCAGCUCGAGGACGAGCUGGUCUUCGAGGCGGGGAGAGAUGUCAUGUACGGUCGUCCCUAUAUCAGGAAACGACGCGCGCGCGACAUACGCCGUGCGCAUGAGCGCGCUGGCCGCACCCAGGAGGCCACGGUUGCCAAUCUUAGUGGCUAAGAAUAGAAAGAUAUUAUUAGAAUUAGAAAGAUAUUGUUAGUUGGCAAGUUUGUUGCAUGCCUAGAAUCAAGGAGCGAUCAGCUCCUGCUGUGUGCGGCCGUGAGGCCUUAAACCAUUGUAACCAGACCUGAGAGAAUUAAGCAAGAUCAUUAUCAUCCAAUCUCCCUCUCCUCUCAACUAAGCCUACGGCUGUGCGGCAUAACCACGCCGGAGAAGACGACGAACCAAGGCUACGAACUCCGUAGCCGAGGGCCUCCUACCCACAACUACCAGUCCCUUGACAGUUACACAUGUGACUCUUUUUUUUCCAGAAAAGGAAUGGA